UUAGGCCAGGCGUGGUGGCUCAGGCCUGUAAUCCCAGCACUUUGGGAGGCAGAGGCGGGCGGAUCAUGAGGUCAGGAGAUCGAGACCAUCCUGGCUAACACAGUGAAACCCCGCCUCUACUAAAAAUACAAAAAAUUAGCCGGGCGUCGUGGCGGGCGCCUGUAGUCCCAGCUACUCGGGAGGCUGAGGCAGGAGAAUGGCGUGAACCCGGGAGGCGGAGCUUGCAGUGAGCCGAGAUCCCGCCGACAGAGCGAGACUCCGUCUCCUCUGUCUCAAAAAAAAAAAAAAAAAAAGAUAUUUCUUUUCUUUCUUUCUUUUUUUUUUUUUUUUUUUGAGACAGAGUUUUGCUCUUGUUGCCCAGGCUGGAAUGCAAUGGCGUGAUCUUGGCUCAUUGCAACCUCUGCCUCCCGGGUUCGAGCAAUUCUCUUGCUUCAGCCACCCUAGUAGCUGGGAUUACAGGCGCCCGCCACCACACCCAGCUAAGUUUUUGUAUUUUUAGUAGAGAUGGGGUUUCACUACAUUAGCUAGGCUGGUCUCGAACUCCUGACCUCAGGCAAUUCACCCACCUCAGCCUCCCAAAGUGCUGGGAUUACAGGCGUGAGC
rnacentral:lncRNA from 1 species